rnacentral:snoRNA from 1 species
AGACCAUGAUAUGGGCAUCUCCGAAGCAAGUCUUUAUACCUUUCCCAUGCUUCGUAUAAAGACUCAAAAUCCAACUGCAUGAAAGAAGUAAUAUUGUUCCUCAUUUU